rnacentral:rRNA from 1 species
GACGAACGCUGGCGGCGUGCUUAAUACAUGCAAGUCGAACGGAAAGGCCCUGCUUUUGUUGGUUGCUCGAUUGGCGAACGGGUGAGUAACACGUGAGUAACCUGCCCUUGUCUUUCGGAUAACUUCUCGAAACUGGGGCUAAUACCGGAUAUGAUCUCCUGCUGCAUGUUGUGGGUUGGAAAGUUUCGGCGGUUGGGGAUGGACUCGCGGCUUAUCAGCUUGUUUGUGUGGUAGUGGCUUACCAAGGCUUUGACGGGUAGCCGGCCUGAGAGGGUGACCGGCCACAUUGGGACUGAGAGACGGCCCAGACUCCUACGGGAGGCAGCAGUGGGGAAUAUUGCAGAAUGGGCGGAAGCCUGAUGCAGCAACGCCGCGAGCGGGAUGACGGCCUUCGGGUUGUAAACAGCUUUCGCCGGUGACGAAGAGUGAGUGACGGUAAUGGGUAAAGAAGCAACGGCUAACUACGUG